CCCGGACUAGCUCAAUUGGCAGAGCGCACGAUUAAUUUUCGAAUAUAACGUGAGGUCGCAAGUUCGAGUCUUGCGUCUGGGC